GUACUGACUUUGGCAGCACAUAAACUCCAAUUGGAAUGAAACAGGGAUGAACAUGGCCCCUGUGCAAGAAUGACAUGCAUAUUAAUGAAAUGUUCCAUAGUUUU